rnacentral:lncRNA from 1 species
AAAGGAGGACUUGCCUAAUUGAGAAUUGCUUUUUGGAAAAUAUUUGGUCAUGUAACAUUUUCAUCUUUUCCUUGUAAAUUCUAGAGUGAUCGUAGGCCUCAUUCCGUAUCUCUUAUAACUCCUGCAGCUGCAACUUUCAAUGCUCACCAACUUCCUCUAUUUUCAAGUUACAACUCUUGACGGUCCAAUAUGCUUGAUGUUCCAGCUCGACGAGAAAAUGACAGGCUUUCUUGAAGAUUAGACAAUAUGGGGACAUUUCAAUUGGUGUCUU